AGAGUUUGAUCCUGGCUCAGGAUGAACGCUAGCGGCAGGCUUAACACAUGCAAGUCGAGGGGUAACAUUGUGCUUGCACAGAUGACGACCGGCGCACGGGUGCGUAACGCGUAUAGAACCUACCUUUUACAGAGGAAUAGCCUUUAGAAAUGAAGAUUAAUGCCUCAUGGUAUUGUAGACUGGCAUCAGUUUAUAAUUAAAGAUUUAUCGGUAAAAGAUGGCUAUGCGUCCUAUUAGUUAGUUGGUAAGGUAACGGCUUACCAAGACAGCGAUAGGUAGGGGUCCUGAGAGGGAGAUCCCCCACACUGGUACUGAGACACGGACCAGACUCCUACGGGAGGCAGCAGUGAGGAAUAUUGGACAAUGGAGGAGACUCUGAUCCAGCCAUGCCGCGUGUAGGAAGAAUGCCCUAUGGGUUGUAAACUACUUUUAUACAGGAAGAAACACUGGUAUGUAUACCAGCUUGACGGUACUGUAAGAAUAAGGACCGGCUAACU
rnacentral:rRNA from 1 species